GUUGCUGUAGUUGAAUACAACGGUGGUUUUUCAGCUCACUAGUCUCGGUUAAAAUCCGAGCAGGAACU
rnacentral:tRNA from 1 species